UACGGAGGGUGCAAGCGUUAUCCGGAUUCACUGGGUUUAAAGGGUGUGUAGGCGGGCUAUUAAGUCAGUGGUGAAAUCUCAGGGCUCAACCCUGAAACUGCCAUUGAUACUAUUAGUCUUGAAUAUCGUUGAGGUUGGCGGAAUAUAUCAUGUAGCGGUGAAAUGCAUAGAUAUGACAUAGAACACCAAUUGCGAAGGCAGCUGGCUACACAAAUAUUGACACUGAGGCACGAAAGCGUGGGGAUCAAACAGG
rnacentral:rRNA from 1 species